rnacentral:rRNA from 1 species
UACAGAGGUCUCAAGCGUUGUUCGGAUUCAUUGGGCGUAAAGGGUGCGUAGGCGGCGCGGUAAGUCGGGUGUGAAAUCUCGGAGCUUAACUCCGAAACUGCAUUCGAUACUGCCGUGCUUGAGGACUGGAGAGGAGACUGGAAUUUACGGUGUAGCGGUGAAAUGCGUAGAUAUCGUAAGGAAGACCAGUGGCGAAGGCAGCACUCUGGGACGUGACUGACGCUGAGACGCGAAAGCGUGGGGAGCAAACAGG